rnacentral:rRNA from 1 species
GUAGGGAAUAUUGGGCAAUGGAUGCAAGUCUGACCCAGCCAUCCCGCGUGCCGGAAGAAGGCCCUCAGGGUUGUAAACGGCUUUUGACGGUGAAGAAUCGACAGGAUGCGUCCUGUUUUGACGGUAGCCGUUGAAUAAGCACCGGCUAACUCCGUGCCAGCAGCCGCGGUAAUACGGAGGGUGCGAGCGUUGUCCGGAUUUAUUGGGUUUAAAGGGUGCGUAGGCUGGAAGGUCAGUCAGCGGUGAAAAGCUGUCGCUUAACGAUAGUAUUGCCGCAGAUACUUCCUUUCGUGGAUGAGGAGGAGGCCACUGGAACGGAUGGUGUAGCGGUGAAAUGGAUAGAUAUCAUCCAGAACACCGAUUGCGAAGGCAGGUGGCUGUACCUUAAUCGACGCUGAUGCACGAAAGCAUGGGGAGCAAACAGGAUUAGAUACCCUGGUAGUCC